UGGACAUGCCGAGAGAUGAGUUCAGAUUGGUCUGCCAUAUAACACGCUUCUGUCUAUUUGAUCUGGUUAGAAUGUUUUUGAACAGGGACAAAGUGACAGGAGAGGUCAGCAUAAGGGCUUGCUGCUACAGGUCCAUGAGGAAAAAUGAGAAACCACAGAGUUUGAGUGUUGUACUGAAGCCCUCUGAGCCAGUAACAAUGACACAACAUCACUGUUAAUGUGUUGCUGGCACUGCAUUAUGCAACCACACAGUUGCAUUACUAUUCCAGUCUGUACACUAUUCACAAAUGGGAACACCAGUUGUCCCACCUGUGCACAGCUGCACAGAGGCCAAGCAGCAGUGGCAUAAGCCAAGGACUGUGCUAUGUUUUAAUAGCUAUAUCACAUAACAUCAAAUUAUUAUAAUCACAUCAUAAUGCUAAUAAAUGAUUUAAUGAAAACUCGUCUCUGUCACGUCUUGACCAGUAUAGGGGUUAUUUGUUAUUGUAGUUUGGUCAGGACGUGGCAGAGGGUAUUUGUUUUAUGUGGUUUGGGGUGGUGGUUUGUUUAGAAGGGUGUUUGAUUUAUUAUUUCCGGGUUUUGGGUUAUGUUGUAUGUUUUUGUAUUUCUAUGUUCUUUCUAGUUUAGUAUUUUCUUUGUUAGGUAAUUGGGUGUUGGACUCUCAAUUGGAGGCAGGUGUUUAUAGUUGCCUUUGAUUGAGAGUCCUAUAUAUAGGUUUGUGUUUUGUUUGUUAAUUGUGG
rnacentral:lncRNA from 1 species